GCCCGCCUAGCUCAAUCGGAUAGAGCGUCAGACUUUUAAGGCGGUGCGAGUCAUCUUGAAUUAUCUGAAGGCUGCGAGUUCGACCCUCGCGGUGGGCU
rnacentral:tRNA from 1 species